rnacentral:rRNA from 1 species
UACGUAGGGUGCAAGCGUUGUCCGGAUUUAUUGGGCGUAAAGAGCGUGUAGGCGGCCGUACAGGUCAGCUGUGAAAACUCGAGGCUCAACCUCGAGACGUCGGUUGAAACCGUACGGCUAGAGUCCGGAAGAGGAGAGUGGAAUUCCCGGUGUAGCGGUGAAAUGCGCAGAUAUCAGGAGGAACACCGAUGGCGAAGGCAGGUCUCUGGGCCGAUACUGACGCUGAGGAGCGAAAGCGUGGGGAGCGAACAGG